rnacentral:misc_RNA from 1 species
GAAAUGCGAUAAGUAAUGUGAAUUGCAGAAUUCAGUGAAUCAUCGAAUCUUUGAACGCAUAUUGCGCCCUGUGGUAUUCCGCAGGGCAUGCCUGUUCGAGCGUCAUUAUAACCAAUCAAGCCUCGCUUGGUGUUGGGGUCCGCACCCGCGGCCCUUAAAGUUAGUGGCGGUCUCCGUAGACUCUAAGCGUAGUAAUAACCCUCGCUACAGAACUCUGCGGUGGCCUGCCAGAACCCCCACUUCUUAGGUUGACCUCGGAUCAGGUAGGGAUACCCGCUGAACUUAA